GGAAAUGUGAGUGGUAGUAUGGUGGUAUUAAUGGAAAUGUGCGUGGUAGUAUGAUGGUGAUACAAUGUACAUGCAAACUAAUAACGGUAGAUCUACCUCUUUCGUUGAUAUUGAUAUGUAAAACUAUCAAUUCUCUGACCUGUAUAGGUAGUGGUGUGAUUGGUGUAAAAACAAAAACAAAAAACCGGUGUUAAAACACAUGUGUUAGCAUCCGAUGUGCCAUUAGCUGUGUGUAAAUGGUGUUUAUGGAAAUGUGAAUGGUGGUACGUGGUGUAUAAAUGGUGGUAUGUGGUGUUAAUGAAAAUAAGGGUUGUGGUAUGUGGUGUUAACGAACGUGUAGGUAGAGUGUGUGCGAUGUUAACGAAAGUAUGAAUGGUAGUAGUUGGCUGGUUAUUUCACAAUUUUCACCCUUAUUAUACACCACUUGUGGAUGAAGUACUAUGAUUAAUGGUUAUUACCCCCUAGUAGCGAGGGCUCUUUAGCGUGCAAACGCCUACCGCCAUAGGGCCUUCCGAAAGACCCGUAAAUGCAGUGCAUUUGGAGGGCCAAUCACUACCAAUGUUUACGUCUUAGGUUGGCGAUGGCAUGAGGAGGAUUCGAAUUCAUGAGCUUCCGGUUAGGAAGCAAACGCUCUACCAUUGAGCAAUGCGACCGGUAAUUGCGUGGUGGUGGUGGUGGUGGAAGUAUAUAAAGAACCUAAAAGCCAGGAAUUAUUCGUUUACUUGCAUGACAAUCUGAGCAGUGUUUAUAUACUUCCACCUGAAGUGUGUCACAGUCUGUAUAAUGGAAUGAUAACGUGUUGUAAAGUUCUAACGAGAUACAAAUGGAGUUUAUCAUUUUGGUUCGUGGAUUUAUCAGAAUAAAGAGAAUCUUAUAUUUUCGGAAGCAAUCAACAGUUGUGAUCGAGAAGAGAGAAGGAGAAAAUUUCAAGUGUGAGAUUGUAUUUGAUGAGACUGAUAUGACAAUGGUACCAGAGCCAACUGUCAAACAGCACUCCAGCCAGCAACAUUUUCCUCUUGUAUUUUUUGACUUGGAAUCAACAGGAUUAACUAGAGAUUCUCAUAUUACACAGCUGUCGUGUGUGGUGAAGAAAAAUGUUCCACCUAUACCUUUCCAAAAAUACCUAUCACAGUAAAAGCCUCAGAAAUCACAGGAAUCGAAAUUGUCAAUGGAAAUAUGUUUAACAAAAAUAUAGAAGUCAAGCCUUUCAGCAGGAAUGGAUGCUCUGCUUAAUUUUGUUUCAAAAUUUUAAACUAAAGUAAUUUUGCAUUUACAAUGGCAGUGUAUGAAUGUCAACAAUAUACAGAAUGUUUAUUGUAUACUAUACCCAAUUUAACAUUUUCUGUUUAUGAGAGAGAGAGAGAGAGAGAGAGAGAGAGAGAGAGAGAGAGAGAGAGAGAGAGUUGCAAGAAUUGGAAAGUAACUGCAAAAAUCAUGUGCAAAUUGCAUCAGUAUUGAUGUGAACGGUGGUGAAUUUGUUCUCUGAAUUUUGAUACAUUUAAUGUACCAAAUGAAAUUAUCCUAAUAAAUUUCCAUUUCCAUUUCAAAUGAAAAUGAUUAAAUUUCCACACAAUGUGGGUUUUUUUUUAUUCAUUAGAAUACAUCAAAGUAAGUUAUAAUUAAAAAUAAGUUUAAAAAGAACUGUAUUUUAGUUUUAAGAAAAAAUGAUGGAGAAAAUUGGAAUUAGACUGCUUGAAAACUCUAGUUCACUAGUUCACUAGUUCGCUAGUAUGUGAUUGUUGCUUUAAGAAAGAUUUCAAAGCAUCAUAGCAAAUUAUAACUAAUAUUUUGCUUAUAACACUAAUAAAUUUUGAUAUUGUAAAUAUAGUCGCUUUAAAUGA